rnacentral:rRNA from 1 species
AGUGAACGCUGGCGGCAGGCCUAACACAUGCAAGUCGAGCGGCAGCGCGGGGGCAACCCUGGCGGCGAGCGGCGGACGGGUGAGGAAUUCGUCGGAAUCUGCCUUUUUGUGGGGGUUACGUAGGGAAACUUUCGCUUAUACCCCCUUCCUCCUUCCGGGGGAAGUUGGGGGCCGCCAGGCCUCCCGCCGAAAGAUUAGCCGACGACCGAUUAGCUAGUUGGUGGGGUAAAGGCCCACCAAGGCGACGAUCGGUAGCUGGUCUGAGAGGAUGAUUAGCCACACUGGGACUGAGACACGGCCCAGACUCCUACGGGAGGCAGCAGUGGGGAAUAUUGGACAAUGGGCGCAAGCCUGAUCCAGCCAUGCCGCGUGUGUGAAGAAGGCCUUCGGGUUGUAAAGCACUUUUGUCCGGAAAGAAAUCCCUGGAGCUAAUACCUUCGGGGGAUGACGGUACCGGAAGAAUAAGCACCGGCUAACUUCGUG